AUCAUCUCAUGCAAGCUGUAAAAGACUGCAAGUGCUCUCUCUCUCUUUCUCUGUCCCUCUGAUCAAGUGAAGUGAUUCGUACAGGCAAAAUGCAUAUCACGCGUGAAAGGAAAUUAAAUGAUAAGCUAAGGUUCGCAUCCGUUUCUGGUAAUUGAUGGGGGAUUAAUGUGUGAAUAAAUAUUGAGUCAGCAGGCAGGGAUGAGAAAGGAAAACGAUGGCUUACUAUGAUCACUGAAUACAGGGCUGCAGUUUGCAAUUUUGCAUUUACUUCAAAAGCAUAUAUAUAUGGCUCCAUCACAUUUUUAUUUAUUUGUUUGUUCAAUGUGGCAUGGCUUCUCCGUGUAUUUGUAAAGUAUGUUUAUGGUUCAUAAGUUACUAUAUGGAAAAUAUCCAAUAACUUUUUUUGUGGUAAUCCAAGUAAUCAUAAUUAUACUGCAAAUUCUAGAUGAUUUAUAUUUAGCCAAUAUAUUGAGCCUCAUGCGAUGUUUAUAUAGUGCAUAAUGUCUUGCAUCUCAACCAAUCAAAUAAAUGGAGGUAAAACCAAUCCUAUCCUACCAUAACAACAACCCGGAUCCGUCUGAUCUAUAUCAUUGUUAUAUACACUAAUAUUUCGCAUUUUAACUACACAAUCCUCAUGAAAACAAACAAGAGGCACUAGUUAAAAAAAACUAUUAGUGAGGGCUAAGUAAUGCACUACAAUUACUUAACAUCUUUUGCAUUAUAGUAACUAGGGGGGAGUCAUCUUACUCAACGGGAAAAUAUUUCAAAAACAAUGACUCCAAAUGGGGUCUAAACAUAAUGGGGACAGAUAGAUUGCAUUGAUCAUAUAACUUUUGUUUGGUGACAAGGGAGAAAUACUACAAAAUCUAAUAAACUCCUUUGAAACAUAACUGGAUCCUUUAAAAACAUUUGAUUUGAAAUAUUAGGGGAAAAUGGCCCUUAACAGUCCCCUUACUUCUAACAUUGAGUCCCGAGGAUGUAGGUCUUGUUUCAUAUAUAUGGAGUCAGGCAACCUAAGUGCACAUGCGAAGAAGGCCAAAAUAUGAAUUUGUGACUUGCACUGCCCAUCUACUGAUUAGGAGGUGAACAAACAACCCUGAAUCUCAGGAUCAAAGAAACCAACCUCUUUCAAUCGGCUUCUCCAUUUUGCUCAGUUUCAUGUUCUUACAACCCAGCUCCUAGCUAGAUUCUCCUCUACCCCAAGAUUUCCAUAAAUUCGAGAUAAAUUUGGGUUCUAUCGAUCACUUAUUUCUCGAUAAUUCAAUCCAAAAAUCUCUUGUGUAACAGAAAAGGGUCAUAGUUUUCCACCUUGGUCAUCACCAACAUCAUCCUCUACAAUUGAAAAUUUGCAUUCAUGGACACAAGAUGAUGAAUGAACAAGACAACUUUACAACUAGUGGAUGCCUUUGCUCUAUUUUCU
rnacentral:lncRNA from 1 species